UGUGUCAGAUCUGAACAGCCAAUCUGCGGCAGACGUGACGUCAGGCAGCAAAUCCUAAUUGGGGAAAGCUCGAGAUGAGCCGGAGAAUGAGCAGCCACGGUCCGCAACCAGAGAUUAGGGCUGCGGGUCGGGUGGACAAGGGUUCCCGCUUCCCAGCCCCAGGAGAAAACAAAGAGCUCAGCAAGGAUCACAGCCUCCAGAAGACUUUGUGGUACCCUGCUUCUGGCAUUGGAAGAUCAAGAAUCAGGGAUGGGCAGCAGGGGGCGCCCAUGUAAAUGAAGAAAACCGCAGAGGCUGCCCUGCCAGUGCUCCUUGCACUGGAGUGGAGUGGAGCAUUUAGGGAUCCUCUCUCCCUCCCUUCCUCCCUCCCUUCCUCCCUCCCUUCCUCCCUCCCUUCGCUCUCUGUCUCUGUCUCUGUCUCUGUCUGUCUGUCUGUCUGUCUCUGUCUGUCUGUCUGUCUGUCUCUCUCUCUCUCUCUCUCUCUCUCUCUCUCUUGCCAAAGAGAGUUUGAAGAAAUCUAGGAAAUGAUAUCUUUACUGCUAACAUCUGAAUUAAAACAAUGUCAACAAAA